AGAGUUUGAUCCUGGCUCAGGAUGAACGCUAGCGGCAGGCCUAAUACAUGCAAGUCGAACGGUGAUAGCAAUACAUAGUGGCGCACGGGUGCGUAACACGUAUGCAACCUACCUUAUACUGGGGGAUAGCCUUUGGAAACGGAGAUUAAUACCCCAUAGUACAUUUGAUUGGCAUCAAUUAAAUGUUAAAGAUUUAUCGGUAUAAGCUGGGCAUGCGUCCAAUUAGUUAGUUGGUGAGGUAAUGGCUCACCAAGACUUUGAUUGGUAGGGGAACUGAGAGGUUAAUCCCCCACACUGGCACUGAGAUACGGGCCAGACUCCUACGGGAGGCAGCAGUAGGGAAUAUUGGGCAAUGGAGGCAACUCUGACCCAGCCAUGCCGCGUGCAGGAAGAAGGCGUUAUGCGUUGUAAACUGCUUUUAUAUAGGAAGAAAUAGUCCUUGCGAGGAAAGUUGACGGUACUAUAUGAAUAAGCACCGGCUAACUCCGUGCCAGCAGCCGCGGUAAUACGGAGGGUGCAAGCGUUGUCCGGAUUUAUUGGGUUUAAAGGGUGCGUAG
rnacentral:rRNA from 1 species